UGCAGAACUAGAUAUAAGUGUGAACAGUCGGCCAGAAAUCGCAGUUCACUCCACUCCUGUGAGGAACAUCCACAACUAUGAUACGAAACCUCUGGCGGUACUUAUAGAAGAGAAGAAGGUGGAGUCGCGCCGAGCUCCGGUGACUCUCUAGCGGUGCGCGGCGAGUACGGAUACGUAGACUCCGCAGGACGACUGUACUCUUUAAAAUAUGUCGCUGAUGUCAAUGGCUUCCGACCAGAAAGUAGUGAUUACUCCGUCCGAUAUAAUGACAGAAGACUUAUUUAAUAAUGCGUUGGUUGAAAUUCGACUGUUGAAUUUAAUAUAUUUGUAACACAUACA